AAGGAUCAUUAUCACCGAUCCAUACCAACCCGUGCAUCGAUGUCGUAUGUCUGCGGAGUGCGUUCGCGCACUUUGAUUGUUAACCUAUUUACCCGCACUACACGUACCUGAAGUCCCGGAUGGACGGCGGCGGCCCUUACGGGUGUGCCAGCCAACCACUCCGACCCCACUAUCCAAUACAACUCUCAGCAACGGAUAUCUUGGCUCUCGCAACGAUGAAGAACGCAGCGAACUGCGAUACCUAGUGUGAAUUGCAGGACUCUGUGAAUCAGCGAACCUUUGAACGCAACCUGCGCCCGCGGCCUCGUGCUGUGGGCACGUCUGUUUGAGGAACGGUAUCCACUCCAACACUGUGUGCAUCUCGAUGCAUACGACAUGGGUAUGCAUUCGGCGGGCAGGCGAGCGCGCGCGCGGCUUCGGCCACGAGCGUUUCCACCCUCCGACCGCGGCUCGAAAGCGAUACCGAUUCGCCCCAUAUACAUCCCACGGAUGUGACCGGGCGGUGCAGCUGGACACGAGGGCCUCCUUUAUCAGGAGGCUUCCCUCGGGGGCUUGCGACGCUAUCCCAGAACGGCACACCCUCGUGGAUGGGGCAACGCAAAAGAGGGUAAACCUUUACAAAAUCUACUACCCCGUUCUCAAAUCAGGCGAGAGUACCCGCUGAAUUUAA
rnacentral:misc_RNA from 1 species